CGCAACCCGCCCAAUCCGCCCGCAUUAAAUUAAAUUUUUUUCCCCCUCUUUCAAAUCUAGCCGUCCAUCUUCUCCUUCACCUCAUUUAUUACAACAAACAAAACAAAAAACCCUACAUUUGCCUCCCUCACUCUCUCAGUCUCAUCUCAAAACUCAUCACUGUCUCUUUCUCUCUCACUCUCUCGUUUCGUUAUUCUGCUGCCCCGAUCACUCUCUCUCACUCUCUCGUUGUUCAUCUCAUCGCACCGCCGAUCUACUCAUAGGUCCACAGUUUGGUUUUGCAUCUCUGCACCGAUCGACUCAUAGUAUCCAGAACAGAAUUGAUAAAUGCUGACUGACUAAAACUAGUCUCAGAGUUGGGCAACUUGUUCAUAAAUCUGAGUCUUUUCACCACGAGCAAGAUUCAGUUCUGUGGUCAGAAAAACUGAGACCUUGUGCUGAAGCUCUAUAUAUUGUUUUGUUUGAAAAUCAUAGUCAGCUGCUAGGUCCAGUUGUGGUUUCCAUUCUUCAAGAGGCAAUGAAUGGUUGCCCGACUUCAGUCACUGAAAUCACUCCAGGAUUACUUCUCAAAGAUGCUACUUAUGGUGCUGCUGCCUAUGUUUAUUACAAGCUGUCAAAUUAUCUGAGCUUCAAAGAAUGGUGUGUGCUUUUCUGUGUUUCCGUAUCCGGUUCUUCUGCAUUUGUUUGUCUAAUGCAGCUCGGUAAUUACCUAUUGCUUGGCAUUUAAAUGGUUAUGACUUACAAGAACAACUUGUAAUUGGCAAAUUUAUUUAUUUUUAUUUUUGGUUAUUUAAGCUGCAUAUGCUCUAUUUUCCAUAAUUCUCAAACAACUUUAAAUUAGGGGC